rnacentral:rRNA from 1 species
CCUACGGGAGGCAGCAGUGAGGAAUAUUGGUCAAUGGGCGAGAGCCUGAACCAGCCAAGUCGCGUGAAGGAUGAAGGAUCUAUGGUUUGUAAACUUCUUUUAUAUGGGAAUAAAGUGAGGAACGUGUUCCUUUUUGUAUGUACCAUAUGAAUAAUCGUCGGCUAACUCCGUGCCAGCAGCCGCGCUAAUAUGGAGGAUGCGAUCGUUAUCUGGAUUUGUUGGGUUUAAAGGGUGCGUAGGUGGUUAAUUAAGUCAGCGGUGAAAGUUUGUGGCUCAACCAUAAAAUUGCCGUUGAAACUGGUUGACUUGAGUAUAUUUGAGGUAGGCGGAAUGCGUGGUGUAGCGGUGAAAUGCAUAGAUAUCACGCAGAACUCCGAUUGCGAAGGCAGCUUACUAAACUAUAACUGACACUGAAGCACGAAAGCGUGGGGAGCAAACAGGAUUAGAUACCCCUGUAGUC